AGCCCCGUGGUGUAGCUGGCCAAGCACGAGUCCUUGAAUGCCGGACUUUGGAUCCGGAGACGCCGGUUCGAAUCCGGCCGGGGCUA
rnacentral:tRNA from 1 species